AAGAAAAAAGAAAAUCAUACGGUAGAUAAAGAGGCUUGACAUAACAAAGGAGAAUCAAUCCCCGCUUCAAAAUCGGUUUUCCAUAAUCGCAAUUGCUGAUCCGUAGAAGCUAGCAACUGGGAGUCGGUGUUAGAACCAACCGAUGAAGGAUUCCAUAACAACUUCGUAACUGGGUAUUCAAGAUCAGUUGCUGCUUGCGCCUUUUCCAAGUGAGAAUUUCCAUCAUCCC